rnacentral:rRNA from 1 species
GGCUGUCGUCAGCUCGUGCCGUGAGGUGUUGGGUUAAGUCCCGCAACGAGCGCAACCCUUGUCGUUAGUUACAUUCUCUAACGAGACAGCCUCUCACGGAGGAGGAAGGUGGGGAUGACGUCAAGUCAUCAUGGCCCUUAUGUCCUGGGCUACACACACGCUACAAUGGCCGGUACAAUGGGUCGCGAAGCCGCGAGGUGGAGCCAAUCCCACAAAGCCGGCCCCAGUUGGGAUUGCAGGCUGCAACUCGCCUGCAUGAACGUGGAAUCGCUAGUAACCGCAGGUCAGCACACUGCGGUGAAUACGUUCCCGGGCCUUGUACACACCGCCCGUCACGUCAUGGAAGCCGAGAACGAUUGAAGUCGCUGA